rnacentral:tRNA from 1 species
AGCACUACGCCGGAUGAACGGGAAUCAUUGAUGUUGAUUAUUAUAGGAUUUAAGAAUCUUUGGUGUUA